UACGUAGGGUGCGAGCGUUAAUCGGAAUUACUGGGCGUAAAGCGUGCGCAGGCGGUUUUGUAAGACAGGCGUGAAAUCCCCGGGCUCAACCUGGGAAUGGCGCUUGUGACUGCAAAGCUGGAGUGCGGCAGAGGGGGAUGGGAAUUCCGCGUGUAGCAGUGAAAUGCGUAGAUAUGCGGAGGAACACCGAUGGCGAAGGCAAUCCCCUGGGCCUGCACUGACGCUCAUGCACGAAAGCGUGGGGAGCAAACAG
rnacentral:rRNA from 1 species